rnacentral:rRNA from 1 species
UUCCCCUAGUAACUGCGAGUGAAGCGGGAAAAGCUCAAAUUUAAAAUCUGUCAGUCUUUGGCUGUCCGAGUUGUAAUCUAGAGAAGCGUUAUCCGCGCUGGACCGUGUAUAAGUCUCCUGGAAUGGAGCGUCAUAGAGGGUGAGAAUCCCGUCUUUGACACGGACUACCAGGGCUUUGUGAUGCGCUCUCAAAGAGUCGAGUUGUUUGGGAAUGCAGCUCAAAAUGGGUGGUAAAUUCCAUCUAAAGCUAAAUAUUGGCGAGAGACCGAUAGCGAACAAGUACCGUGAGGGAAAGAUGAAAAGAACUUUGGAAAGAGAGUUAAACAGUACGUGAAAUUGCUGAAAGGGAAACGCUUGAAGUCAGUCGCGUUGUCCAGGAAUCAACCUUGCUUUUGCUUGGUGUACUUUCUGGUUGACGGGUCAGCAUCAAUUUUGACCAUUGGAAAAAUAUUAGGGGAAUGUGGCAUCUUUGGAUGUGUUAUAGCCCUUAGUUGCAUACAAUGGUUGGGAUUGAGGAACUCAGCACGCCGCAAGGCCGGGUUUUUAACCACGUACGUGCUUAGGAUGCUGGCAUAAUGGCUUUAAUCGACCCGUCUUGAAACACGGACCAAGGAGUCUAACAUGCCUGCGAGUGUUUGGGUGGAAAACCCGAGCGCGUAAUGAAAGUGAAAGUUGAGAUCCCUGUCAUGGGGAGCAUCGACGCCCGGACCAGACCUUUUGUGACGGUUCUGCGGUAGAGCAUGUAUGUUGGGACCCGAAAGAUGGUGAACUAUGCCUGAAUAGGGUGAAGCCAGAGGAAACUCUGGUGGAGGCUCGUAGCGAUUCUGACGUGCAAAUCGAUCGUCAAAUUUG